rnacentral:rRNA from 1 species
UACGGAGGGAGCUAGCGUUGUUCGGAAUUACUGGGCGUAAAGCGCACGUAGGCGGCCAUUCAAGUCAGAGGUGAAAGCCCGGGGCUCAACUCCGGAACUGCCUUUGAAACUAGGUGGCUAGAAUCUUGGAGAGGCGAGUGGAAUUCCGAGUGUAGAGGUGAAAUUCGUAGAUAUUCGGAAGAACACCAGUGGCGAAGGCGACUCGCUGGACAAGUAUUGACGCUGAGGUGCGAAAGCGUGGGGAGCAAACAGG